ensembl:snoRNA
UGAUGAUCGUUCCUCCUGCCGCUCAGAGAUCAUGCGGCUCAGGAUUUUAGAUCAUCAUAGAGAAAUCUGAGUCUGUUUCACCCGGUGUGUGCCGACCGACGGUCUCCUGUGGCCACGCUGGACUUUGCGGGACUCUACAGCU